rnacentral:tRNA from 2 species
CGGGAUAUGGCGCAGUCAGGUAGCGUGGUUGCUUUGGGUGCAAUUUGUCGGGGGUUCAAAUCCUCCUAUCCCGU